rnacentral:snRNA from 1 species
AGCUUUGUGCAGUGGCAGUAUCGUAGCCAAUGAGGUUUAUCCGAGGCACAAUUAUUGCUAAUUGAAAAAAAAAAAGAAUUAUGAAUAGAGAACUACUCAUCUACUAUUUAUCUAUUUCUCAACAUUGAAUGCACCUAAUGAUU